AGCGAACGCUGGCGGCAGGCCUAACACAUGCAAGUCGAACGAAGUCUUCGGACUUAGUGGCGGACGGGUGAGUAACACGUGGGAACGUGCCUUUAGGUUCGGAAUAACUCAGGGAAACUUGUGCUAAUACCGAAUGUGCCCAUCGGGGGAAAGAUUUAUCGCCUUUAGAGCGGCCCGCGUCUGAUUAGCUAGUUGGUGAGGUAAAGGCUCACCAAGGCGACGAUCAGUAGCUGGUCUGAGAGGAUGAUCAGCCACAUUGGGACUGAGACACGGCCCAAACUCCUACGGGAGGCAGCAGUGGGGAAUCUUGCGCAAUGGGCGAAAGCCUGACGCAGCCAUGCCGCGUGAAUGAUGAAGGUCUUAGGAUUGUAAAAUUCUUUCACCGGGGACGAUAAUGACGGUACCCGGAGAAGAAGCCCGGGCUAACUUCGUGCCAGCAGCCGCGGUAAGAC
rnacentral:rRNA from 1 species